UCGUUCCUCGUCUAGAAAACUCGGUGCUAGGUGUGGUGUUUCUAUCUUGUGUGUCACUGUACUAUGGGCCUUUGUGAUCCAUGACUGAUGGUAGUAGCAGUAAUGACAGAGCGCUGUGAGCCAAA